GACGAACGCUGGCGGCGUGCUUAACACAUGCAAGUCGAACGGAAAGGCCCUGCUUUUGUGGGGUUCUCGAGUGGCGAACGGGUGAGUAACACGUGAGUAACCUGCCCUUGACUUUGGGAUAACUUCAGGAAACUGGGGCUAAUACCGGAUAGGAGCUCCUGCUGCAUGGUGGGGGUUGGAAAGUUUCGGCGGUUGGGGAUGGACUCGCGGCUUAUCAGCUUGUUGGUGGGGUAGUGGCUUACCAAGGCUUUGACGGGUAGCCGGCCUGAGAGGGUGACCGGCCACAAUGGGACUGAGAGACGGAGCAGACUCCUACGGGAGGCAGCAGUGGGGAAUAUUGCACAAUGGGCGGAAGCCUGAUGCAGCAACGCCGCGUGCGGGAUGACGGCCUUCGGGUUGUAAACCGCUUUCGCCUGUGACGAAGCGUGAGUGACGGUAAUGGGUAAAGAAGCACCGGCUAACUACGUG
rnacentral:rRNA from 1 species